rnacentral:lncRNA from 1 species
CGUAGGCCAGGCUCUACUGCUGGUAAAGCGGCCAGUUUUAGGAAGUUGGUUAGUUUCUUUGUGCGCAUACACCCAACAGCACAGAGGUUGCCACUCGGCAGCACCGCAGGUUCUAGAAUGAGCAGUUAGGACACCACCAGAGGCGCGUUCACCCCUGCCUUCACUUGGUGCCUGAAUUCCUGAACCAAGGCUCUGGAUUCAACCUUUCAAGGUUGUAGCCCGCCCGGCUCCUCUGUCCAUGGGAUUUCCCAGGAAGAAUACUGGAAUGGUUUGCCAUGCACUCCUCCAGGGGAUCUUCCCAAGCCCAGGCAAGUCAAAAUGAUGAGUUUGGGUUACCAUCUGCAUAUGCG